rnacentral:lncRNA from 1 species
UCAUUCUCAAUGCCCAACGCCCAAUGUUUCGUCGAGAUUUUACAAGACGGCGGAAUACACCGAAUACUGGUCGAGAUUCCUGCAAGAAUUGUUGCUUUCCUUCUUUCGGAGAAGCGUGAUAAAGGUGAAGACGGAAAACUGCCGGCGGCGAUACACGCGAUUCUCUAUUUUCUACCGGCCGGUAGGUGUAUGUGCUCCUUUAACAAAUCACAAUUUCGCAACAGCGGAGUGUAUAGUGCAGACAGAAAGUGCUUGGGUGUGAUACAGUGCAGGGAUUAAUAACAGUGACUCGAGUUCCGAGGAGUGAAAUCUGUUCGCGUGUAAUUUAAAACUGCUUAUCAUCUCCUUCGUGCACAAUGGAAUAUUCAAAUAUGCAUACAUGCGUUGUUAAAAUACUCCGCGUCAGGCACUGAUUGUGAACAAUUUUAAUUUCAGUGUUUCCGAGGUAAAUCAACAACGUGAAGAAGGAUCGAUCGGCGCGGAUGAUCGUCCAACAUCGCAUUGGGACAAUCAGUGUUCAAGAUUCGAAGACAACGGUUCAAUGCGAAAACGUGGGGCAAUUGACGGAGUUGGUGUUCCUCGUUAAAGAACCUCGGGGACUCGGAUAGCGGAAAUGGGGGUUCGGAGGAGGGAGAGAGAACCGGAAGCCCGCGAUAAAGAGGAC